CUGCUCACGCCUGCCUGGUAAUCACAGUAUUUUAGAGCUGAAGCAGGAGAGGCAGUCCUUCACCUCAUCAGGCUCUAGCCUAUUGAGGCAUGGAAGGACUAGGAGUCAGACCUUGAAUUAGAACCAAUACUUACUGGGAGCCAGUGUAAUGAGUGGCAGUGUAAUAUUCUCUUGUGUUGAAGAUGGUUGCUGCAUCCUGGACCAGCUGCAGUAACUGCGUGAUACCCAGGUAAAAAGGAUAACAAACGCUUGAAUUGCUGUGCUCAGACUUCCAUGUUUCAGAGUGGGCAUGGAUGUCUUAUCAACAGAAAGUAGAACAAGAGACAUUUCUCACUAUUGCUACCAAUUGGGCAUCCAAGGGUAGCACAAAAUUGAAUACCAUUCCCAGAGUACAUCCCAGUGAUGUAUAGGUGCCCUAGACACAAGGAAUGGGCAUGGAUUCUGAAAGAUCUUGAGAAUGUAUACCCUUGCUAAUUGGUGUUUGAGCCAAGCAGCAUUGAAAGCAGUGUGACUAAAAGUCAUUGGGUGAUAUUUCUUCUCCAUUCCUCUCCCUAGUAAAAAAAUUGCAGUUUGCUUUUAUGAGUAAAAGCAACAUUGAAGAAGGGUGCCUUGCCCUUGGACUGGGCAGUGGCAAGAUAUGAGGUGGUCAUUAGGUUCCAAGUGAGUAAGCACAACAAUCUUGGAUGGCUCCAAAGAAAUCCCCAUCUCCUGCACACAGGAGGUUUACCCGUGCAGUGCACUGUCCCUGAGGACUGGAGCUGGUAGAGGCUGGUUGAAACACUGGAGUUUCAGGUUUCACUUCUUUUGUACUGUGAUGUCACAAUCCUACCAGUCCUCUGCUGAGUCUUCCAGGGAGGCAAGAGCUCAAUUUCUGAUGUGGAAAAAAAAGCAGAAAACAGAACUUCUUUAGAACAAAAACCCAACAAAACCAAAACCAGAAAAACAGCCUCCUCAUCUCCUUCUCCUUUACCAUUCAGGUGAUGAUGGGAUGAUCUGAACAAGUAUGACGAGAGCAUUCCAUGAAAUCUCCCAAUAAGCUCUGGAAGAGAUACACUCUCUU